rnacentral:rRNA from 1 species
AUUGAACGCUGGCGGCAGGCUUAACACAUGCAAGUCGAGCGGAGAUGAGGUGCUUGCACCUUAUCUUAGCGGCGGAUGGGUGAGUAAUGCUUAGGAAUCUGCCUAUUAGUGGGGGACAACAUUCCGAAAGGAAUGCUAAUACCGCAUACGCCCUACGGGGGAAAGCAGGGGAUCUUCGGACCUUGCGCUAAUAGAUGAGCCUAAGUCGGAUUAGCUAGUUGGUGGGGUAAAGGCCUACCAAGGCGACGAUCUGUAGCGGGUCUGAGAGGAUGAUCCGCCACACUGGGACUGAGACACGGCCCAGACUCCAACGGGAGGCAGCAGGGGGGAAUAUUGGACAAUGGGCGGAAGCCUGAUCCAGCCAUGCCGCGUGUGUGAAGAAGGCCUUUUGGUUGUAAAGCACUUUAAGCGAGGAGGAGGCUACCUGGAUUAAUACUCUAGGAUAGUGGACGUUACUCGCAGAAUAAGCACCGGCUAACUCUGUGCCAGCCGCCGCGGUAACAC